CAUUAUUUUGUUUUCCUUUUACCUUCUAGAAGUGCAGUCAUCUAGACAUGGAGGAGAAGCUGCUCAAGAGAUAUCAAAUCAUGGACCCGGGUGUCAUGGCUGAGCUGGAGUGAAAAUUGGAACUAUGCAGAUGUGAGUAGUUUUAAAUUAGCAUGUACACAAGCGCACUGUUUCUGUGGUACAUGUAUAUCAGACUAGUCUUACAGGUUGCAGUAGAUUUGUUGUGUCAUAUCCGCGAGGUACCGGUUAAGCAGAUGUUACAUGUACGUGCCCAUUCAUAUCUGUCACGCUAGAGGUUAGGGGUCACGUGACUGCGAUUAGGUUUUGGGGGAAUACGGAAAGAGGGGCCCCUGUGAUUAGCAGUAUAAAGAGCCUCAUUUAGCCCCUCCCCCCCUAAUCGAAACUAUAAUUAGCACAUCGCAGUUUGCAACACUCGUUAUUAUUAGUGAGUUUUCAUGAUUUUAGUCCAUUUAUCAUCUGUUGGUUUAAGUUACCGUAAUGCCGGUUUAUCAUGUUUUCCUGUUCCUUUGCACAGUUUGUGUGUGUUAUGUCACUGUGAUCGACCCACCCCAUGCUGGAGGUUGAUGUGAGUUGAGACUGAGAAUGAUGCCCUGUCAGUAAUGAACCCGAACACUCACUCAUGCCUUCAAGAAGUUUAGGUGCUAACUUCAGCCCUUCCUCUACCUACCUGUAAAAAUUUGGCUCUCUACGAAGCUUUAAACAGGUCAAGCGCGGACGUUGAAGAAACUCACCGAACGUUCAUUUUUUACAAUGAAAUUUACUGUUUACGUGAGGGAAUUUCCCUAUUAUUGUUAAUUAUUUUUAACAAAAAAAGAUUACAACUUGUA